rnacentral:rRNA from 1 species
AUCUAUGGCCAUACCACCCUGAACAUGCCUGAUCUUGUCUGAUCUCAGAAGCAAAGUAGGGUAGGGCCUGGUCAGUACUUGGAUGGGAGACAGCCAAGGAAUGCUGGGUAUUGUAGGCU